GAAUGCUGACAUAAGUAACGAUAAAGCGGGUGAAAAGCCCGCUCGCCGGAAGACCAAGGGUUCCUGUCCAACGUUAAUCGGGGCAGGGUGAGUCGACCCCUAAGGCGAGGCCGAAAGGCGUAGUCGAUGGGAAACGGGUUAAUAUUCCCGUACUUGGUGUUACUGCGAAGGGGGGACGGAGAAGGCUAUGUUGGCCGGGCGACGGUUGUCCCGGUUUAAGCGUGUAGGUGUGUGUUCCAGGUAAAUCCGGUUCACUUUAACACUGAGGCGUGACGACGAGGCACUACGGUGCUGAAGCAACAAAUGCCCUGCUUCCAGGAAAAGCCUCUAAGCAUCAGGUAACAUCAAAUCGUACCCCAAACCGACACAGGUGGUCAGGUAGAGAAUACCAAGGCGCUUGAGAGAACUCGGGUGAAGGAACUAGGCAAAAUGGUGCCGUAACUUCGGGAGAAGGCACGCUGACACGUAGGUGAAGUGAUUUACUCAUGGAGCUGAAGUCAGUCGAAGAUACCAGCUGGCUGCAACUGUUUAUUAAAAACACAGCACUGUGCAAACACGAAAGUGGACGUAUACGGUGUGACGCCUGCCCGGUGCCGGAAGGUUAAUUGAUGGGGUCAGCGCAAGCGAAGCUCCUGAUCGAAGCCCCGGUAAACGGCGGCCGUAACUAUAACGGUCCUAAGGUAGCGAAAUUCCUUGUCGGGUAAGUUCCGACCUGCACGAAUGGCGUAAUGAUGGCCAGGCUGUCUCCACCCGAGACUCAGUGAAAUUGAACUCGCUGUGAAGAUGCAGUGUACCCGCGGCAAGACGGAAAGACCCCGUGAACCUUUACUAUAGCUUGACACUGAACAUUGAGCCUUGAUGUGUAGGAUAGGUGGGAGGCUUUGAAGUGUGGACGCCAGUCUGCAUGGAGCCGACCUUGAAAUACCACCCUUUAAUGUUUGAUGUUCUAACGUGGACCCGUUACCCGGGUUGCGGACAGUGUCUGGUGGGUAGUUUGACUGGGGCGGUCUCCUCCUAAAGAGUAACGGAGGAGCACGAAGGUUGGCUAAUCCUGGUCGGACAUCAGGAGGUUAGUGCAAUGGCAUAAGCCAGCUUGACUGCGAGCGUGACGGCGCGAGCAGGUGCGAAAGCAGGUCAUAGUGAUCCGGUGGUUCUGAAUGGAAGGGCCAUCGCUCAACGGAUAAAAGGUACUCCGGGGAUAACAGGCUGAUACCGCCCAAGAGUUCAUAUCGACGGCGGUGUUUGGCACCUCGAUGUCGGCUCAUCACAUCCUGGGGCUGAAGUAGGUCCCAAGGGUAUGGCUGUUCGCCAUUUAAAGUGGUACGCGAGCUGGGUUUAGAACGUCGUGAGACAGUUCGGUCCCUAUCUGCCGUGGGCGCUGGAGAACUGAGGGGGGCUGCUCCUAGUACGAGAGGACCGGAGUGGACGCAUCACUGGUGUUCGGGUUGUCAUGCCAAUGGCACUGCCCGGUAGCUAAAUGCGGAAGAGAUAAGUGCUGAAAGCAUCUAAGCACGAAACUUGCCCCGAGAUGAGUUCUCCCUGAGACUUAGAGUCUCCUGAAGGAACGUUGAAGACGACGACGUUGAUAGGCCGGGUGUGUAAGCG
rnacentral:rRNA from 1 species